GGGGCUGUAGCUCAGUUGGUAGAGCNNGGUCACCGGUUCGAUCCCGGUCAGUUCCACCA
rnacentral:tRNA from 1 species